GCACUGCUGGUGUAGUGGUGUCAUGCAAGAUUCCCAUUCUUGCGACCCGGGUUCGAUUCCCGGGCAGUGCA
rfam:Ciona savignyi cont_9206, whole genome shotgun sequence.